rnacentral:rRNA from 1 species
GGGAGGCCAAAACAUGCAAGUCGAGCGGCCGUAGCAAUACGGCAUUUUGCAGACGGGAGAGUAACACGUGCGAUUAAAAAACUACAGUACGGAACAACCAAGGGAAACUUUGGCUAAUACCGUUUACGUCCGUAAGGAGAAAGAUUUAUCGCUGAAGGAUCGGCCCGCGUCUGAUUAGCUAGUUGGUAGGGUAAAGGCCUACCAAGGCUACGAUCGGUAGCUGGUCUGAGAGGAUGAUCAGCCACAAUGGGACUGAGACACGGCCCAUACUCCUACGGGAGGCAGCAGUGGGGAAUUUUGUGCAAUGGGGGAAACCCUGACGCAGCCACGCCGCGUGAGUGAUGAAGGCCUUCGGGUUGUAAAGCUCUGUCGGGAGGGACGAAGGGGAAACCCUGACGGUACCUCGCAAGAAAGCACCGGCUAACUCCGUGCCAGCAGCCGCGGUAAUA